AUUAUUCAUAGUGUUUCUCCAUUUAUUUCAGAUACAGUGAAUGGUACUCACUCAAUCAAGGUCUUCGGAAAACUUUUCCUCUAGAAAAGUUUCCUCCUCUUCCGAAAAAGAUUUUUCUUGGGCGGAGUCAGAAGAAAGCAGUUGCCAGGCAACGAAUGUGGGAACUCCAAGUAUUCCUUCAGGGGUUGCUCUCCAUGAGUCCUGAGGUGGUUAAUUCCGUUCUUUUGAGAAGGUUUUUCAAGCAGACGGACAGCGACCGCGAGGAUGAGAUCUUCAACAAUAAGAUACAGCAACUUCAGUCAAGACGUGAUAUGUCUUAACUACUAUCAUCACUCCAUAUCUUCCUUAAUACUUUAGACUUCUAUUGAUAACAUUGUCUUGUGUCAUUUAAUCAACAAUCACUCAUUCCUAUUAUAUAUAUAUGAUUAUUAUUAUAAUUGUUUUGUCUAUUUUAUUGAUCAUUUCUCACUGUUGCGAUUCAUAUCUAUCUAUCUAUCUAUCACCAUGAUUACCCUCAACUAUUAUUAUUAUUAUUAUUAUUAUUAUUAUUAUUAUUAUUAUUAUUAUUAUUAUUAUAAAAAUAUUAGAGAAAAACAAAAAAGGGAAAGGAGAAGGAAGGCCCUAUGAGAAAAAAAACAAAAUGAAGAAAUGAUAGAUACAAUUAAGAAGAGACUAAUAAUAAAGAAGAAUAAAAGAGUCUCAUUAUUAUUAUUAUUACUAUUAUAAUUUAUAUACAUGAUUUUUGACCUAUCAACAGUUUCAUUUAAUGAGUAUGAUGUUGUCUGUUUAAACUUA